rnacentral:tRNA from 1 species
UGAAAACAAGCUGUUAAGCAUUCCAUUUACACUGGAAAGGUACUUGUAAUUUACAAGGUUUUCAA